CAAACAACACACAAAAAAAAAAGAAAAAGGGCGAACAAACAAACUAAAAGGGAGACUAGAGCUCGAGCCUAAUAGUUGCCCCGCAAACAAAAAGAGACGCUGAGACGUCAGAAGGAACACAAAGGUUGAAAGGACAAACUAAUAGGGAGACUAGAGCUCGAGCCUAAUAGUUGCCAAACACACACAAAAAAAAGAAAAAGGCGCCCGGAGAGAUCAGCUCAAUCUCCUGCCUACAUACUUCAUCUGGUAUGAAGAUCAGGGCGAUGUAGUUCCCCUACGCAGGGAUAAAGG
rnacentral:lncRNA from 1 species